GUACGGGACGAACGCUGGCGGCGUGCCUAACACAUGCAAGUCAACUUGACUGAAGGAGCAAUCUGACAGUAGAGUGGCGCAAGGGUGCGUAACGCGUAAGUAACUUGCCCCAAGGUAAGGAAUAACGUCGAGAAAUCGGCGCUAAUACCUCAUAAUGCAGCGGAUCCGCAUGGAUAUGUUGUUAAAGGUUUACCGCCUUGGGAUAGGCUUGCGUCUGAUUAGCUAGUUGGUGUGGUAACGGCACACCAAGGCUACGAUCAGUAACUGGUCUGAGAGGAUGAUCAGUCACACUGGAACUGAGACACGGUCCAGACUCCUACGGGAGGCAGCAGUGAGGAAUAUUGGGCAAUGCUCGAAAGAGUGACCCAGCAACGCCGCGUGGAGGAUGAAGGUAUUCUAUAUCGUAAACUCCUGUGAGAGCAGACGAAAGACAGAUUAUUAAUCUGGAUGACUGUAUGCUCAGAGGAAGCCCCGGCUAACUACGUG
rnacentral:rRNA from 1 species